rnacentral:rRNA from 1 species
UACAUGGGGUGCAAACGUUGCUCGGAAUUAUUGGGCGUAAAGCGCACGUAGGCGGUUUGUUAAGUCGGAUGUGAAAUCCCUCGGCUCAACUGAGGAAGUGCAUCCGAAACUGGCAGGCUUGAGUACUAAAGAGGGUCGCGGAAUUCCCGGUGUAGAGGUGAAAUGCGUAGAUAUCAGGAGGAAUACCGAUGGCGAAGGCAGGUCUCUGGGCUGACACUGACGCUCAUGCACGAAAGCGUGGGGAGCAAACAGG